UAGGAAAAAAGGAAACACAAAGCAAUUAAAAAAAUAUCCAGAUUUCGGUAUGUAUUGCUUUCCAGCAAAAUUUCAUCUGCGAUUCUUAAACAUCACAUAUCUCUCAUUUAAAAUGGUAUUACUAUCUGCAGUCAGUGUGACUGACGAGCAAGUCACAAAAUGCUCAUGAAACUAUGGACACACUCAAUAACUCUUCAUCAAUAGAUGCAUUCUAAAAGGGUCCUGGCCUGCUUACGAAGAUGCAUUAUGGUCAAGCAAUCACUAUAAUGCAAAAGAGAUUGCAGAAUAUAAUUCGAGAAAAUAGAAAUAGAAAAUAAAAAUAAGUAAACCUUAAAUCUGAUAUUAAAACUACAAAAGCAAUUCCAUAGUGUAACUUUCACGUGCCAAAAGAAAUCUAUUGGACAAAACACAACAGGCAAGCGAGCAUAUUCUUGAGAACAUGCACCACCUUUUUUUCCUGUGGACAGGAAAACAUAAAUUAAGAAAAAUGAAUGUAUCGUAAGUAACAGUUUAGUUGUAUAUAAACCUUACCGCUCAAAUCAUUUCUGUAUACAAUAUAAAUGAUGAUCUGCACUCAACUCGCCAUGUAACAAGCUGGCAGUGGCAGCUAAAAUGAGGGACAGAAAGAGGACUGUAGUGAUCAAAUUUGUGCAGAUGCAGUAGAAUACUUGUAAGAAGAGACGCCAAAAGCAGUGCGCCAUAACUCAGACAAGAAUUC
rnacentral:lncRNA from 1 species